rnacentral:rRNA from 1 species
UACAGAGGUCUCAAGCGUUGUUCGGAUUCAUUGGGCGUAAAGGGUGCGUAGGCGGGUCUUUAAGUCAGGGGUGAAAUCCUGGAGCUCAACUCCAGAACUGCCUUUGAUACUGAGGAUCUUGAGUCCGGGAGAGGUGAGUGGAACUCCGAGUGUAGAGGUGAAAUUCGUAGAUAUUCGGAAGAACACCAGUGGCGAAGGCGGCUCACUGGCCCGGUACUGACGCUGAGGUGCGAAAGCGUGGGGAGCAAACAGG